rnacentral:rRNA from 1 species
CCUACGGGGGGCUGCAGUAACGAAUAUUGGGCAAUGAGCGAAAGCUUGACCCAGCGACGCCGCGUGUAGGAGGAAGUCCUUCGGGAUGUAAACUACUGUCAGGGGGAAGAAAGUCCGUUUCGGCGGAUUGAUCUAACCCAGAGGAAGUCACGGCUAACUUCGUGCCAGCAGCCGCGGUAAGACGAAGGUGGCAAGCGUUGUUCGGAAUCACUGGGCUUAAAGCGUGUGUAGGCGGAAGCGUAAGCGUCUUGUGAAAUCCCUCGGCUUAACCGAGGAAUUGCUUGAUGAACUGCGCUUCUUGAGGCAGGUAGGGGUGCGAGGAACUCUUGGUGGAGCGGUGGAAUGCGUAGAUAUCAAGAGGAACGCCGGUGGAGAAGUCGUCGCACUGGGCCUGUCCUGACGCUGAGACACGAAAGCGUGGGGAGCGAACGGGCUUAGAUACCCCGGUAGUC